GUCAACGGCCAUACCACGCAGAAAAGACCUGGUCUCGUCAGCUCCCAGAAGUUAAGCUGCGUCGGGUCCCG
rfam:Daphnia magna strain Xinb3 contig17289, whole genome shotgun sequence.